rnacentral:rRNA from 1 species
GACGAACGCUGGCGGCGUGCUUAACACAUGCAAGUCGAACGCUGAAGCCCUUUCGGGGGUGGAUGAGUGGCGAACGGGUGAGUAACACGUGGGUAAUCUGCCCUGUACUUCGGGAUAAGCCUUGGAAACGGGGUCUAAUACCGGAUAGGACCUGUCCUCGCAGGGGGGUGGGUGGAAAGUUCCGGCGGUAUGGGAUGAGCCCGCGGCCUAUCAGCUUGUUGGUGGGGUAGUGGCCUACCAAGGCGACGACGGGUAGCCGGCCUGAGAGGGUGGCCGGUCACACUGGGACUGAGACACGGCCCAGACUCCUACGGGAGGCAGCAGUGGGGAAUCUUGCGCAAUGGGCGAAAGCCUGACGCAGCAACGCCGCGUGGGGGAUGACGGCCUUCGGGUUGUAAACCUCUUUCGACAUCGACGAAGGGGCCCUGUUGUGGGGUUUUGACGGUAGGUGUAGAAGAAGCACCGGCUAACUACGUGCCAGCCGCCGCCGUAA